rnacentral:rRNA from 1 species
GACGAACGCUGGCGGCGUGCUUAACACAUGCAAGUCGAACGCUGAAGCUUGGUGUUUGCGCUGGGUUGAUGAGUGGAGAACGGGUGAGUAAUACGUGAGUCACCUGCCCUUGACUCUGGUAUAUGCCUGGGAAUGUGGGUCUAAUCCUGGAUAAGCCCUGCCACUGCAUGGUGGUGUGUGGAAAGGGUUUUACUGGUUUUGGAUGGGCUCACGGCCUAUCAGCUUGUUGGUGGGGUACUGGCCUACCAAGGCUCCGACGGGUAGCCGGCCUGAGAGGGUGACCGGCCACACUGGGACUGAGACACGGCCCAGACUCCUACGGGAGGCAGCAGUGGGGAAUAUUGCACAAUGGGCGGAAGCCUGAUGCAGCGACGCCGCGUGAGGGAUGACGGCCUUCGGGUUGUAAACCGCUUUCAGCUCUGAAGAAGCGAGAGUGACGGUAAUGGCAGAAGAAGCGCCGGCUAACUACGUG